rnacentral:rRNA from 1 species
GGGCCCGCACAAGCGGUGGAGUAUGUGGUUUAAUUCGAUGAUACGCGAGGAACCUUACCAGGGUUUGACAUCCUGCGAAUCUCUUGGAAACAGGAGAGUGCCUUCGGGAACGCAGUGACAGGUGGUGCAUGGCUGUCGUCAGCUCGUGUCGUGAGAUGUUGGGUUAAGUCCCGCAACGAGCGCAACCCACGUCUUUAGUUGCCAGCAUUUAGUUGGGCACUCUAGAGAGACUGCCGGUGAUAAACCGGAGAAGGUGUGGAUGACGUCAAGUCAUCAUGCCCCUUACAUCUGGGCUACACACGUACUACAAUGCUACGGACAAAGGGCAGCAAGUUCGCGAGGACAAGCAAAUCCCAUAAACUAUCCUA